GAGUUCAGCAGGAGAAUAAACCAGAAUAAAACCUUCAGAUAAAGUGAACGCAGCGUGUCUGUGUGUGGACGGACAUGUAGAAGUGAUCAUUUUCAGUUUAAUCUCAGAUCAAACACUUCAGUUUCACAUUUUACUCCUUAAACAGCAGGAAUGAGUCUCUAAUGGAAGUUAAAGUGAAUUCAAAGGUUCUUUAAAGCAGGAAAUGUUUGUUAUUUUCUAGAGUUAAACAUUAAUGCAGGUUGUAGAUGAAGUCUUGUUUGAUAGUUUUAAUAACUUGUUGGUCUGGUUCAACCACAUCAACACACCUUACAGAAAUAUGAAGGAGAUCACAUGAUGCUGUCGUCUGAUCAGAGUUCUGCAGAUAAUCAGCUCCAUCUGAAUGAACAGCAUUAAAAUACUGCUUCCACUCUGCUGUGGAACAGAAACACUGUUCAACUAAUAACUGUGGAUCAUUUCACUAGUUGUGCUUCCAGACAUUUUUACACCAAUAUUAAAGCCAAAAUAAUCCCAGAAGAACAGAGGCAGUGCAACUGGAGGGCACUAGGACCCAGGGACAAGGAGAGAGCAGCUCACCUGUCCAGAUUCAGCACAGGUGAGUCAGCCUCAUUCUGACUCCUGUCAUCAGUCUGAGUGGACGUUUCUGAGAUGUUUUUGAUUCUCCAAAGAAGAAAUCCUCUGUGUUCAUCAUCCUCAAUGUGAUUUCUUUCUGGUGGGUUUCCAGCAGAGGGCAGCAUGGCAGCAGCACCUGGUGAGUCCAUUCAGG